AACGAACGCUGGCGGCGUGCCUAACACAUGCAAGUCGAACGAGAAAGGGGCUUCGGCUCCGAGUAAAGUGGCGCACGGGUGAGUAACACGUGGGUAACCUGCCUCUAAGAUUGGGAUAACUCGUCGAAAGAUGAGCUAAUACCGAAUAAGACCACAGUUCCCGCGGGAACAGGGGUCAAAGGUAGCCUCUGCUUGCAAGCUAUCACUUAGAGAUGGGCCUGCGCACCAUUAGCUAGUUGGUAGGGUAACGGCCUACCAAGGCAAAGAUGGUUAGCUGGUCUGAGAGGAUGAUCAGCCACACUGGAACUGAGACACGGUCCAGACUCCUACGGGAGGCAGCAGUGGGGAAUAUUGCGCAAGGGGCGAAAGCUUGACGCAGCAACGCCGCGUGAGUGAUGAAGGCCUUCGGGUCGUAAAGCUCUGUCGGGAGGAACGAAUGCUCCUGAGGUUAACAGCCUCGGGAGGUGACGGUACCUGCAAAGGAAGCACCGGCUAACUCUGUG
rnacentral:rRNA from 1 species